UACGUAGGGCGCGAGCGUUGUCCGGAUUUAUUGGGCGUAAAGAGCUCGUAGGCGGCUUGUCGCGUCGUUCGUGAAAACUCACAGCUCAACUGUGAGCUUGCGGUCGAUACGGGCAGGCUGGAGUUCGGUAGGGGAGACUGGAAUUCCUGGUGUAGCGGUGAAAUGCGCAGAUAUCAGGAGGAACACCGGUGGCGAAGGCGGGUCUCUGGGCCGAUACUGACGCUGAGGAGCGAAAGCGUGGGGAGCGAACAGG
rnacentral:rRNA from 1 species